UGGUUUUGUCUGAAGUCAAACUUUCUUAAGUUUGAACAAAUUUAUAUAAAAUAUUAUCAAUUUUUAUGAUACCAAAUAAACAUACUAUGAAAAUAUAUUUCAUUAUAAAUAUAAUGAUACUUAUUUGGUUUUAUAAAAAAUAGUAAUUUUUUAUAUAACUUUGGUCAAACUUAAGAAAGUUUGACUUCAGACAAAAUUAA
rnacentral:pre_miRNA from 1 species